UACGGGGGGGGCAAGCGUUGUUCGGAAUUACUGGGCGUAAAGGGCUCGUAGGCGGCCAACUAAGUCAUACGUGAAAUCCCUCGGCUUAACCGGGGAACUGCGUCUGAUACUGGAUGGCUUGAGUUCGGGAGAGGGAUGCGGAAUUCCAGGUGUAGCGGUGAAAUGCGUAGAUAUCUGGAGGAACACCGGUGGCGAAGGCGGCGAUCCUGGACCGAAUACUGACGCUGAGGAGCGAAAGCCAGGGGAGCAAAACGGGG
rnacentral:rRNA from 1 species